AUUGAACGCUGGCGGCAUGCCUUACACAUGCAAGUCGAACGGCAGCACGGGUGCUUGCACCUGGUGGCGAGUGGCGAACGGGUGAGUAAUACAUCGGAACGUACCUUAUCGUGGGGGAUAACGCAGCGAAAGCUGUGCUAAUACCGCAUACGCCCUGAGGGGGAAAGCGGGGGAUCGAAAGACCUCGCGCGAUUAGAGCGGCCGAUGCCUGAUUAGCUUGUUGGUGGGGUAAAAGCCCACCAAGGCGACGAUCAAUAGCUGGUCUGAGAGGACGAUCAGCCACACUGGGACUGAGACACGGCCCAGACUCCUACGGGAGGCAGCAGUGGGGAAUUUUGGACAAUGGGGGAAACCCUGAUCCAGCAAUGCCGCGUGUGUGAAGAAGGUCUUCGGAUUGUAAAAGCACUUUAAGUUGGGAGGAAGGGCAGUAACCUAAUACGUUAAUUGUUUUGACGUUACCGACAGAAUAAGCACCGGCUAACUUCGUG
rnacentral:rRNA from 1 species